CUCGUAGGUAUAAAAGUCGGCAUUUGGCAGCGGCAUGGCAUUGGCACAUGGCACUCCUCCUAUUCUGGGUUUGGGGUUGAAUUGGUGUUCCAAGCUAUAGUGGUAUAGUGAGUUAUUUAGAGUACGUUUGCGGGUUGUGGGUUUGGAAGGAAGGCAGUGCGGCACAGUAGGUAGGUAUAUCGGGACCGGGACAAAAAUUUUAAUGCGCUCAAAACGUGUAUAUGGUAAUUUCGUGUGAAUAAAUGGAGACCGACCCACUAAGGCGGAAUACAAACAACGAAAUCUCUUAAAUGCUCCAUUACACUUUUGUUGACAGUGCGGGCACUGCUUUAUACCUACUAUACCUACUUAGGUAUACAGCAGACAGAAUUAAACGGUAGCCAGGAAAAGCCUAUAGUCGAUAUAAAUGGUGAUGUCACGACGACAACGCCGCCGACGACAACGAUGAGAACUAUGAAAGAAGACCAUCAGGACAACGACGACGGCGAACGACGACGAUGGGAUUUAAUGGAAGGCAAAAGGAUUUAGUUAUUCUGAUGUUUUGUGAGUCAGCAGGAGAAAAGUAGAGAAUUUGUCGUUCUUUUUUUCCACACCAUUUAGUCGUUCGUGUGACAGUCAUGGUGGCUCUCAAGGAAUUUAAAAUAGCCCCCAGAUAAAAGGGUGAUGACCGCAAAUAAAUUUAAUAGUUCACUAA